rnacentral:misc_RNA from 1 species
CGUAAAAGGUCCUCAAUUAGGCUAUCCUCGUAGAGGAAGAGGAGUUUUAUUUACUCACGUUUUAUUACUGUCAAUUAGACAGUUGUAUUGUUUGUAUUUUAGAAAUUUGUAGAUAGAAUAACAAAAUUGUGAAUUUUUUUGCAUAACUUAAAAAGUGAUAAAAAGCAUUGUGAUCCGUUUAAACUGUUAGUCGUUUAGACAGAUAAGAUAAAUCUAUAACAAAUUAAAAUUAGAAAGCGUACAUAGAAAUAUUUUUUGAUUGUUCUCAUGCACAAUAAUUGUGAAGAUACGUCACAGUAUAUUAAUAGGAUUUCAUUCAGUGUUUAUUUGAUUAGUGUUGGAGUUUUUGCAAUGUAAGCGAAAAACUAUAACAAUUGUUUAUAUUUCGGUACACCGUACACCUGAGGUUGUUUUAGUUUUUUAUUUAGGUCAUUUAAUCAUUAGAAUACUUAAUGACACAACUGAAUAAAAAAUACAAUCAUGGAUAAUUCUGAUGAAGAAAGUGAAUUAGAUCCUAGGAUUCAAAUAGAACUAGAAAAACUCAACUCCACUACUGAUGAAAUCAAUAAAUUGGAAAUUGAAUAUGAUGAAGAAAAUAAGACUUUUCGCAUGCUUCUAAAUGAAUGCACACGGCGGCUCAAGUUACUAUCGAAAAAAUUAGGCAACUGUAUAGAAAAAUCUAGACCUUACUAUGAACUCUUAGAGGUUGCAAAAAAGGCUCAACAAGAAUGUCAAGAAGCAGCUCUGUUGUACAAGAAGGCACACGGAAUCCACGCGGCAGCUAAAGAAACUGUAGCUUUGGCAGAGCAGCAAUUUUUAACAAAUCAACACGAAUGGCAGUUCGACAAUGCUUGGCAGGAAAUGCUCAAUCAUGCUACUAUGAAGGUUAUGGAAGCGGAAACUAACAAAGCUGAAUGUGGUCGAGACCAUCAACGAAAAGCCAUAGCAUUCAAAGAAAUAGAAGAAAAAUUAAAAUCCCACGAAGACAAACUACACAAAUUCAUAUUAAAAGCUCGCCCCUACUUCGAUGAAAAGGCACUAUGUCAGGAUCAACUCAACCACCAAAAGCAUCGUAUAGGCGCGCUAAAACAAGAAAUCUUAAAUUCGAAACAAUUUUAUUCUCAAACACUGAAAAACUUAGAACAAAUAUCCAACGAAAUACAUAUGAAGAGGAAGGGAAAGAAACAAGAGUGCGAUAUCUUACGGGGACCUCGAGAGCCAGGUGUCGGAGCAGAACUGACUUCAAAUUUCGAAGAAAUACCGCUCACCAAACAGUACCAAUCACUGCCCGAUAUAACAACGGAACUAGACAAGUACGACACUUGUAGCGCCGUUCCCAGCUCUACCGUUAGUGAAAAGGAUGAAUGCGAAGGCCUAGAUAAUAUCGACGAUAUAGUUAACACAGUAGAUAAGCUACAUUUAGAUAGACCCGUCGAGGGUACGAGCGAAAAAGUAUUUGUGUCAGAAUUUCAUUUGGGGAAAUUGGGAAAUUAGUUAUUACGUGUUUAUUGAAGACUUGAAUCGAUUUGAAAAACCCUUAAUGGCUAAUUUAGUCAACAAAAGACAUUACCUAUAAAGUUAUUGAAAGCAUUUUUCUUGGUAUGAUAAAAUAUUUUUACUAAUUCAAAACAUUCGAAUUCUUUCAAAGAAACAUUCCAAAUUCUCUUUUAUUUCCGUGUGAAUAUAGUUUGCGAUAUAUAUGCUAUAGUACUUCGUAACUUUCAGUAAAAAAUAUUAAAAUAUACUAUGUCAAUGAGUUUAAAAUGGCUGCACAUAAUGGUGCACUUUUUAGAGUAAAACUGCAAGUACACUAAACAACAAAAUUAACGCACCACCUUAAAAAUGGAACAUUUUUGAUGUCUCGAAUUUCCUAAACCUGUUGUCCGAUUUGUGUGUUUUUUUUAGUAUGUUAUAGCUUUAUUCUUCAAGAAUAUCCAUGUAAUAAUAUUGUUGCUAAACAGGUAACUGUCAUUGUAUACCGGGUGUAACAAUGAUAGUGUGAUUUUUCCUCAAAGUUUGGAACACACUGUGGAAUAUUCUAGCCUAUAUAAAAUACUGAAAUUAAAGCUCAACUGUAGCCUUAGGCUUUCUUAAUAUUUUACUUUUUGAUUCAUUCGCUUAGGUUGGAUAAUAAAAAAGUUAGGUACUUUAACAACUAGCAACGUUCUUCAUCAAUACAGGGUGUUUCUAAAUAAGUGCGACAAACUUUAAGGGGUAAUUCUGCAGGAAAAAAUAAUGACGUUUGUUUUAUAAACAUAUGUCCGCAAAUACUUCGUUUCCGAGAUACGAGAUGUUGACUUUUUUCUUACAAUCUGAUGAUUUAUUUAUUGCUCUAGAACCGAUUGAGAUAUGCAAAUGAAAUUUAGUAGGUUUUAAGAAAUAGUUAUUGCGCAUUUUUUGACAUACAAUUAAGAAUUUUAUAUUUACCAUUGGCGUGCAUACGGGUCAUAUCACCCGCAUGCACGCCAAUGGUGAAAAUAAAUUUCUUAAUUGUAUGUCAAAAAAUGCGCAAUAACUACCUCUUAUAGCCUACUAAAUUUCAUUUGCAUAUCUCAAUGCAAAAAUUCAACAUCCCGUAUCUCGGAAACAAAGAAUUUGCGGACAUAAUAUGUUUAUAAAGCAAACGGUCAUUAUUUUUUCAUGCAAAAUUACCCCUUAAAGUUUGUCGCACUUUUUUAGAAACACCCUGUAUUGAUGAAAGUUGGCUAGUUGUUAAAGUACCUAACUUUUUUAUUAUCCAACAUAAGCGAAUGAAUCAAAAAGCAGUAUACAAUGACACUUACCUGUUUAGCAACAAUAUUACUACAUCGAUAUUCUUGAAGAACAAAGCUAUAACAUACUAAAAAAAUCGCUCAAAUCGGACAACAGGUUUAGGAAAUUCGAGAUAUCAAAAAUGUCCCAUUUUUAAGGUGGUGCGUUAAUUUUUCUGCUCAGUGUAGGUAAUGCUCCAAUCGAGCAAAUUAAAUCUUUCAAAUACUUGGGAAUGAUGGUGAAUGACCAAUGGGAUUCUCAACAAGAAAUAAAAUGCCAUACCUAACAAGCAAGACACGCUUUUAUUAAAUUUAAACUGCUACUUUGUAACCGCAAUAUUUCCUUCAUCCUCCGUUACAGAAUGGUUAAGUGCUAGGUAUGGUCCAUAUUGUUAUACGGCAUGGAGACAUGGACGUUGAAAAUAUUUUCCAGUAAAAAGUUGGAGGCCUUCGAAAUGUGGACCUUGCGAAAUAUAUUCCGCAUACCAUGGACAUAUAGGGUGAGAAACGAGGAAGUUUUAAGAACAGCAAAUACUAAGAGAGAAUUAAUCAACGUGCGAAAAAUUAAUACCUGGGCGAAGAUAAUCCUGAGAGGGGAAAAAUGCGCAAUCCCUCAGGACACGCGCCAACUCGUAACUUUUAAUGACAACCAUUUUCAGAUUAACAUGUACACCGGCCAAUUCGUAACUUUUCUACUACCUGAACCUGCCAACUCGAAACCGUCUACAGGUGAAUUCGAAACCAUGGAUUAAAUCUAAUACCUCAGGUAGUUAGGUUAAAACGUAUGAAACAAAUUUAAAGCCAACACGGGGCCUAUCGCAAAUGUAUCUAUCUAUCUAAUCAGCCCUAAACAUCCAUCCUUGGAUAUAGGCCUCCUCUUCCUUCUUCCAUGCCUCUCUAUCUUGGGCAAUUUGCAUCCAUUUUGACCCAGUGUGUUUCUUCAGGUCAUCUGACCAUCGCAUCUGUGGCCUUCCCCUUUUUCGUUUGUGGUUCCAUGGUCUCCAUUGUAUUAUCAUCUUAGUCCAUCUUUCAUCCUUCUGCCGUAGGGUGUGUCCGGCGAACUUCCAUUUAAGCUUUGCUACUUGGGUAGAGACUGUAGAUACGCAAAUGUAUAUCUUUCAUUAAUGUUUAUUGAUAAGCAAAGUCCCAAUUCUAUUUUACUUCAACUCAUUUUAAAGCUAUUUCAAUAAACUAAUCGGUUUUUUUCAGUUUUUUGGUAAAAUGUCGUAACUUAUAGACAAAAAUUCUUAAAAUCGGCUAUUUUCAUUUAAAUUGUCAAUAAAUAAAUAAAUUGAUAAAAAAUUGGUCAGAUUUACAUAUAUGUUGUUAUUCUAUCCAUAUAGAAAUUAAAACAAUUGUUACAUAAUGUAGUAGUUACACUGAGUGUCAUAAAAACCGUGUAUUGUUACUCAUUUCUUUAGGCUAUGUCACGUAAUAUCGAGAUUCGAGAGUUUUAUUUUUACAUAGGGUAUUAAUGUUUAACUAACUUAAUUUAUAGUUUUAUAAGCAACAAUUAAGUAUAGCAAGAUUUAUAAAACCAUGUUUAAAUUAUUUUACAUGCACUAUAAUGCGUUUAUCUUAAAUUUUGUUUUAAAUGCUUUUCUUCUGACUGGCAGACAGUAAAUAGCAAAAAUUAGCAUUUUUGACAUCAAAUUUUUGAUAACCAACAUAAGUGUUUGUUACUACUCAAAAUAUUAAAAAAAAACUUACCGUCGGUAUAACAAUGUUUUCCACUUUUUAGCACUUUCUUUAAGUGAAAUUUAAAAUUAUUUACCACCAAUAACUUAUACCCACGUUCACUCAUUACGAAAUCUGUUACAAGAAUUUCAGCCAUUUUCAGAAAAUUUAUUUGGAUUUUCUCUAGUAACUCUUCCAAAAGACAAUACAUAAAUGAUGAAUACCUUUUACACCACUUUAAAGAGGGUAAUUUAUACAGGUACAUACCUGGAAUAACGGUAUUAGAUUACCAACAUUACUUAAAAAAUGAAAGUUACAAAUUCACCGGUAGUUAGUGGGUUAUCGAAAAAUUACUGCGCGCCAGAGUUACCAGUUUGCCUGUUAUUAGGAUGGGGGAUUAAAAUAGUUACGAAUUCACAGGGACCCAUCCCUCAACUAAUCAUCCAAGGAAAGAUUGAGGGCAAGAGGGGAGUAGGUCGCAAACAAAUAUCGUGGCUACGGAGUAUAAAGAACUGGACAGGCAUAAAUAACACUGGCAUGCGCAUGUGGCAUGCCACAAAAGACAGACGUCUGACCUUAAGAUAAUUCGCCAACGCGCACUAUAAUACGAAGAAGCACCAAAAUGGUAGUGUAAUAACAUGUGAAUUAUGUAAGGAAGCUAGAAUUACGAAGCUCUAUCAAGCGCUAAAAAUAAACAUUCUUUUAAUUUGUAAAUAAAAGUCUCGAAAAAUGCUACCACAAAUCAAGCAGUUUCUGAUGAUGAAGUUUAUUAGACAAGAGAAACUUUUACCAGAAUGAGCGAGUUAAAUUCAUUCUACUGCUUAAUGCUGAUUGCAUAGCUAAGAAACCUUUCGCCGAGAGUCUCCUCUCCUAGAUAGCCUUAUCCUUAUGGUAACCUUGGUAAAUGGAGUGACUGCUAUAGUUGUUGAAAUACGGAAAAGGGCAACAACUUUUUUCACUUUUAUUUCUAUGUGUGUGUAUAGCUGUGUCUCGUCUCGUGGCAGUAAUGUUAAACACUAAGCUGUCUUGUAAAAUUCAAAAAGUGAAAUGUCAACUAAUCUGACUAAAUGAUUUAUUACCAACUAUUUCGUAAUUAGCCUUGGUUGUGGGAUAUUAUAACUUUGAACAUUUCAAAGGCGAUGUAGCAACGGUCAGAGUUGUCUUCUGGACGACAACUAAUAAUAAUUUCUGACCAUAGCCUAUAAGUUUGCAAGCCAAUGAAAAACUAAGCUACUUUUACCCGACCGCUUCUUUACGAUUAUGGUUGUCAUAAAUAACUGCCAUAAUUGGACGGGAUUCUGCAGAAAGGAACCAAACCACAAAUAUGUAUUUUUCCUAUUAACAGUCACAUAGGUUGUAAAAUACUCCGUAGAUAGAUACUUAUGCAGAAAAUAACCAAGUCACUUACGAUAUACAUCGUCCUCUAUGAGCGAAAGAACCAACCAACAUUAUCGUUGCAGCGUGACAGCGUACUGUAGAAAAGAUCCAUAUGUGGGUUGGUUCCUUUAUGCAAAUUCAUUUAAGUUAUUUUGCAGAAGGGAACCAAGCUACAAAAGUGGAUUUUUUUUAAAACAACUGUUUUCUUGAAUUCACGGGACUUCCAGAACAAAUUAUUAAAUGCCAGUAAUUUCAUAUUAAGAUUUUUUGUAGAUUAUACGCCUGAUUAUGUAACUCAAUAAUGGAAAAUAAAUGUUUGUUAACUUUGAAUUCACUUAAUUGUUUUGCAGAAGGGAACCAAGCCACAAAAGUGUAUUUUUUUUUGUAAACAACUGUUUUCUUGAAUCAAACAGUAUGUGUUAAAUCAAAUCUAUUGGCAUCUCGUCCUAAGCAAUACGCCCUCUGGAGGAUAUUGCAGUAACCGAGCUAAGGGGCCAUUGUUUAUUUUCUUUCACGUUGACGGUUGAAGGCAUGGCAUCCGGCAUAUUGUUUAGGUUGGGAGAAUUUGUUUGUUUAUGGUUUAAUCACGUUUAAUUGUUGCUGUAUAUUACUCGUUUGUUGUUAUUUAUUUUGUUUGUUGUUACGUUAUUUGUUGUUUCGCGUUAAAGGUUAAUUGUGUUUGUACAAAAUAUAAUUAAAUUUAAAAGAAAAACACAGAUAAACGAACAAAACUAAAAGACAAAACUAAACAUACAACCAAAUACAACAUACAAUAUGUAAACAAUGGAACGCGGCGUCGGUAGUUUCUCCACUGUCAUCAAUACGACUAACUUCACACUUCACAAUGGCCCCUUAGCUCGGUUCAAUUUGAUACCACAUUGGCGCUGCGAUCUUAAUCCGAAUCGCCAAUUGCAUAUAUUGACGAUUUUAAUGUUAAACCAUGAUUAUUUUUAAUAGAGAAUUUUAAAUGUUAUCGUAAAGUUUUUGGCUAAUAUCUCAGUUUUAACAAAGUGUGGUUUGGAUCCUUUCUGCAGAAUCCCGUCCAAUUUGGACUGGAGAAAAAAAUAUGCCAUAAUUUGCAUUGCAGUCAACAGUGUUGAUCUGUGUUGCAAUUUUUAAAAUCACAGUAUAGUUCACUAGAAUCAUAUAAAAUCACUGUAGGGAGAAUUUGUAUAAUGAAUAGACAAGGGAAGCUGAAAUGACGAGAUUGUCACUAAUUAGGUAUUUUCCUUUGUUUUCUGGUGUAGCACUAGUUCUAAUAAAGUGUAGAAGUGCUACACUAAGUCGUUCCUUUACAAGGUGUAGUGGUACACCAAUCUUUUCCAUUGAAAAGUGAAGCAAAAAACACAUGUGUAGAUAAAUCUACACCUGCUUGUGAAAGGGUGACUACCUGCAGUCGUCUUGCGCAGUAUCGUCCAACCAGUUUGACAACUGUUUAGCUGUUUGUAGUCUGACAACUGUGUUUGUUUACAAAAACAAUAUAUUUUUAGUUAAAUUUAAACUGAGAGACAAGCUUUUAGUAAUUUUAAAACCAAAGUACCUACAAAUUUUAAUCUAAUUAUACAAUUGUACUAAACUUACGUGCAUAGAAAUCGGCCCACUUAAAAAUUUGGUCAUUUUUGAUGUCUCAUAUUUCCUAAACCUGUUGGCCGAUUUAAGUGAUUUUUUGAACAUGUUAUAACGUGAUUCUUUAACAAUACCACUGUAAUAAUAUUGUUGCUAAACAGGUAAAUUUUUAUUGUACAUCGGGUGUACCAAUCAAACUGUGUUUUUUUCUGAAAGUUCGCAUCACCCUGUGGAAUAUUCUAGCAUUUAUAAAAUACUGAAAUUAAAACCCAACAUUGGCCUCAGGUUUUCUUAACAUUUUGUUUUUUGAUUCAUUCCUUUAUGUUGGAUAAUAAAAAAGUUAGGUACUUUAACAACUAGACAUGUUCUUCAUCAAUACACGGUGUUUCUAAAUAAGUGCGACAAACUUUAAGAGGUAAUUCUGCAUGAAAAAAUAAUGACAGUUGGCUUUAUUUACGUAUGUCCGCAAAUGUUUCGUUUCCGAGAUACGGGAUGUUGAAUUUAUUCUUACAAAAUGACGAUUUAUUGUAUUGCUUUAAAACUGGUUGAGAUAUGCCAAUGAAAUUUAGUGAGAUUUAAGGCGUAGUUAUUGCACAUUUUUUGACAUACAAUUAAGAAUUUAAUAUUCACGACUAGCGCGCGCAUACGUGUAAUAUGACCGAUCAUAUUACCCGUAUGCACGCUAGUGGUGAAUAUAAAAUUCUUAAUUUUAUGUCAAAAAAUUCGCCAUAACUGUCUCUUAAAACCUACCAAAUUUCAUUUGCAUAUCUAAACUGGUUUUAAAGCAAUAAAUGAAUCAUCAGUUUGUAAGAAAAAAUUCAACAUCCCGUACCUCGGGAACGAAACAUUUGCGGACAUACGUUUAUAAAGCCAACUGUCAUUAUUUUUUCAUGCAGAAUUACCCCUUGAAGUUUGUCGCACUUAUUUAAAAACACGGUGUACUGAUGAAGAACAUGUCUAGUAUUAUCCAACAUAAACGAAUGAAUCAAAAAACAAAAUGUUAAGAAAACCUGAGGCUAUAGUUGGGUUUUAAUUUCAGUAUUUUAUAAAUGCUAGAAUAUUCCACAGGGUGAUGCGAACUUUCAGAAGAAAACACAGUUUGAUUGGUACACCCACUAUACAAUGAAAAGUUACCUGUUUACCAACAAUAUUAUUACAGUGGUAUUGUUAAAGAAUCAGGCUAUAACAGGUUCAAAAAAUCACUUAAAUCAGCCAACAGGUUUAGGAAAUAUGAGACAUAAAAAAUGACCAAAUUUUUAAGUGGUCCGAUUUCUAUGCACGUAAAUUUAUUAUAAAAAUGUUUGAAAUCGAUACCUAUCCAAUUAUAAUAAAAAUGUAUUUAAAUUAAAGAAGGAAAAUAGAAAGUAUAAGUAAACAAAACACAAAAAGAAUCUAAAGAUAAACAAGUAAUAAAAUAACCUGACUUGUUAUAACUGCAACUCAAAGGUUAACUUCACGAGAACGCUCCUUUGCUUAGUGACAGCCAUGAUUUUCGUUUGACACUAGCCAGUGUAGCCUGCACUCAACUACACUCGAAAGUGUUACAAAAUGUUACAUUUAUACUCUUGUGUUCAAAAUUUUAAAUGAAACAAAAACCGAAUCGAUUGAAGUCUUCUUGAAUACGCAGGGAAUCGCAGAGGUUUCAAUAUUUGUACCUUAUUAUUUUAAGUAUAUUGAGUAUAACUCACCUGUUAAUAUUCAGAUGUUUUAACACUAAUACAUUUUAUUAAGAUAUUAAUUGCAUUUAAAAUGUAUAACACUAGAAACUUGCCAUUUUCAAGAAUUUCAUUGGAACGUUUAUAGAUAACUAAAAGAGGAUAUAUGCAUAUACAUUUUAAAGGAGAUGGUUUCAAAAUGAUAUUGUCAUUAUUUUUGAGUUGCGUUCCUGGGAGGACUUUAUUGGAAGAUAGUUAAUAUUUUGUAAAUUGAUAUCUGAGGACAGUAAUAAGUACAUUUUCUUUCCCAUUAGGAUCCAUCAGUUAUCGCUAUUUUAUAUUUGCCGAGACGGAAGAAAACUAUUGGAUCAAAAAUAUUUUUUUGUUUAUUUAUAAAAUUAAUCUUAUAAAAACUAUGGAAACUAGAGUAAUUUUGAUAGUGGAUUUAGCAUCUACGAAAAAAAUUCGUCUCUAAACGGUAUGUAAUAUUUUUCUUCAUAAAAUUUAAAUUUUUAAAACUCAAGUAGCUCUAUAUUUUACGAGUUACUUAUUCCGACUCAAAAACCUUUGUAAAAAUUAAUAUAUUAUUAAUUUAUUAUUUUUCCCUGUAUUAACAAGUAGUGAUGAAGAGGAACAAAUUAUUACUUAAAUUAAAUUAUAGCGUACAGUUCAAAAAACUUAUAAAAAUGAAUCUCACUGUAAUGAAACACUUAAAGUCUUGUAAAAGUCUUCUUUUAGUUUUCUAUAAAAAUAUUCUAUUUUGUUUGCAUAUAUUUGAGGUUGAAAGAAUUUAAAAGACAUUUUAUAUAUUUAUUAUUUUUAAGAAUAUUUUUUCGUUAAUAAAUAUGAAAAUACGAAACAUUACUUAAAUACUGCCGUAUAUGUCUCACUAAUCAUUGUAUUAAGUAAUUUUUCAAUUUUUUUACACUGUAACAGAGAGUUAAAAUGUAUUUACAUAAGAUUAUUGCAUUUUAGGUAUGUUUGACUUUUGCCUGUUAUUAUAAGAAUAGGCAUUCGAUAAUUUAUUUUUUAUAAUUUUUAGUAUCUUUUAAUAUAACAAUGUGAAACAAAUCCUAUUUCAAAUUGUGUAUCAAUUUUUCUAUUCGGUAUAUGAGAGCGGUCCUUUAAAUAAUUAGCCUUCAAGAAAAGCGUUUGACCCAGCGUUGCUUUUGACUUCUUUAACAUGUCAAAUAAAUACGUUAAUGUCCGACUGGUAUAUUAUUUGACAAAUAUUGACAUGAUUUCGAAGUCAGUUAAAUAUGAUAUAAUGCCGAUAGGGCUUUAUUUUGAAAAAUAACGCCCUUGGGCAGGCGCGGAUCUAGAAAUUCAUAAUGGUGGGGGCCAGACUUACCUCAAAUAUAUUAUAUUUUCCAGAUUUAGCCAUACGACUCACACUUACUCUAAGGAGAAAAUACACUAUAUAAUCCCAGAUACCUACGGUAUCAAAAAUAUUGAUACACAAUUCACGACUAUUAAUCUCACUUGUCGUUCUUUACCAUAAAUAUUAACCUUUCUACCAUCAAUGGGUAGGUACGCAUGGAUUAUCUAGUAAAAUACAAAUUUUUUUAUCUUUAUUGUAUCGCAAAUUUGAAACGUGACUUUUCAUGAGAUAAGGUUUAUACGCAGUGUAAUGUAUUUGCAUUUUAAAAUAUCAUUUUUGUUAUUCUUUGAAUUGAGAAAAAUAUUUCCGUUGUUUAUGGUUCCACCGGUAUCCAAACAAAUGCGCCUGCAGAUUAUUUUCCAGAUAAGGGUGUUUUAUUAGAUUUUAUGGCUUGUUUUAUUUCUUUGGAAGCGGUUGUCGUGUAAUUUAGUACUGAUGGCUUAAAGUUUAGAGUUAACAGAAAAAAAAAUAAAUAAUAAAAAAUACUUAUAGACUAAAUACAAUAGGGGGUCCAUGGACCCGUUGACCCCCCCUGUAUCCGCGCCUGCCCUUGGGCGUUAUAUUUAAAUAACUAGUUAAAUGCUGUCAAGUUGACAAAUAAAAACCUAAGUAAAACUAUGGUUACCGCAAUUACGUUACGACUAUUGCUGCUAAAUGUACUUAUUUGAAAACUAAUUCAUUCAAAUUUUUUGCAUAUAAAGAAGAAUUUAGUCGGACAUUAAACGUUGAAGGCACCACGGGUAUUAUAGAUAAUAACGCUUUCGAUCAACGUAUAUACCGGUCAACGGUAUAUACACCGUUGACCUCAAGCGUUAUUAUCCUUAUAAUACCCUUGGUACUUUAAUAACUAUUUGUCGAGGUCUGUAAAGCAGGUCUCCGUGGUGGUGAUAGCCUCCUCAUUCGACUCAAAUUUCUGCCCGGUGAGUGACUUUUUCAAGUUUGAAAACAAAAUGAAGUCGCAUGGGGUCAAAUCUGGAGAAUACGGUGCAUGGGGCAGCAUUUCGUGGCUCAAUUUGGCCAUGGAGGCGGCGUAGGUUUGAACAGGCGUGUAUACCUCACAUAUUUCAAUGGUAAAUUAAUACAUAAAACACAUGCGUACCUACGAAUUCUGCUUCAAAAAUAUCCGGCCUUCAUUCUACCUUCGCAAUAUUAUUCUUUAUGAUACAGCUCAUGGUACCUUUCGAAGUAAUCUCCAUUCGACAUGUUGAUGCUUGAACGUUGCCUUUUAAGUGGCAUUUUCAGUUUUGAAAACACGAAAAAGUCACAUGAUGCUAUGUUGGAUUGCAUGGAAACUGUCGGAAUUAUGUAACUUUAUAUUUUCGAAAAACGUUUACACAAGUUUCAUGACUAUGCUUGCUUACUAUCAGGAUGACGAGUCAACACUCGACCAACAAUGGGGCCGAUUUCUUCUCACUGUGCCACGUAAUAUUUUUAUAACUUAGGGGAGAGUCGGCUAUUGGUGCGCACCUAAGGCUAAUUCAGGAUAUUUCACAAACUUGAAACAUUUCAGUUUCCAAAUUUCUUUAAGAUAUACUUCAAAGGCUUAGGUAUAUUGGUAGUGACCUCACUUAAUGAAUGGUUGAACAGUAGAAGAGUGAGAGGCGAAAUUUCCAAUUAGUGUAAUGCGCACAAUUACCCAACCUAUUCGGCUAAUGGUGCGCAUAUGUCGGAUAACUGUGCGCAAUAAUUGAACUUAAAAAUUACCUUCGAAUACAGUUGAGUCCGCGAGUCUUUACCCGUGCGUCAUUAAUACCUGGCGAGAUAAAACACAUACUUUUUAUCUAGCAUCAUUCUCUUCCACGCAUGAAACUCAUGACAAACCAGCUGCCGUUUGUUAUUAAGUUAAAACACAUGUUAUUUUUGUGAACCAUCUAGACUCAGUGCAUUGAAAAGAGAUAGGUACAAAAAAAGACGAUUCGGUAUGUUUUCAUAUUUUAAGCACAAUUUGUUUGACGUUUCUGCUUUGUUUACUUUUUGGGGCUGUCAGUCAGUUGAAUUUUUUGCAGUUUUUGUUGAAUUUUUGCGUUUUGAAGUUUCUUUAUACACAAACAGUUGUUUUCACAACUAAUUUUAUAUUGGACAUUCAAAUUUUAAGGUAGGUAAUUAUAUUUUGGCAAUUAAUAUUUAAAACAUACAAAGCUAACGUCAUUCACACAGUAAAGAAGUGAUUGUGUUUAGGUUUCCGUCAAAGUAAAUAAAAUGACAAUUAAUUAGUUAGUAGUUAUAAAAUAUAAUAUUAUUUCCUAUAAAACUCUUUUAAAAAUUGUACUUUGAUUUUACCAGUGGCUAAAAUCCUUCUUGUCCUUAAUCAAUGGCAUUACUUUUGUUUAUCGUUGACACUCAACAUAUUGCAAAAUACUUUCAAAUAAAUAAUAAAAAAAAAGAUUGUUGUAUAUUUAAUUUUAUUUUUUAUAAAUUGUUUAUUUAUUAAUCACUAAUGAUAUUAAAAGAAUUUAUUAAUGUACUUCAAAUGUAGCUGCAAUUUUGCCCAAAAUUUUGAAGCAAAACUUACAUUUGAUAUUCUGUUUAUUUGAUAACGUUAAAUUUUAUAGUAAAACCCGCAAUCGGAACAGUAGCCACUUUCUGUCACUUGUUGUUGCGUGAAAUAGAUUUUCGACUUAUUUCGUAUGCUUUAAAUGAUGACGCACGGGUAAAGACUCGCGGACUCAACUGUAUGUAUCUUAUUGAAUAUAAACAUUAAAGGGACAAACAAAUAUACGGAAAACGAUAAGAAACCAAGUUACAGAUAUUUAAAAAAUAUAUAAGUACAGUAGAACGUCAAUAAUCCGGAUUAAUUGGGACCGGACCCCAUCCGGAUUAUCAAAUUAUCCGGAAUAUCGAAAUUACCUAAAAAAAAGCCAGUAUACACAUUAAAGUACAACAAACGUUUUAAAAUUGUAUGUUUUCUCUUGUACAGUAAAGUGUCUAAAAAUAGAAGUGAAAUUAAUCAAAACACUUUUUUUAUGUUUAAACACUGUAUUGUAAUUAAUUUAUAAUAGCAGCAUGUGUACAGUAAAAAACAUCAGACAUUAUUUAGGCUUUUAAAAAAUGUGUAAAAUAUUUUUGAACUGCGGUAGAGGUUCGUUUUUCGCACCUAAGUUCUUAAUUUAUUUUAAAGGAAUCAGAUAUUUUUGCUAGAUACAAAUCCGGAUUAUUGACGGUCCGGAUUUUUGACGUCCGGAUUAUCGACGUUCUACUGUAUUGCAGAAGUCACAAAUAUAUCCUUCUGAACUAUCCUGUCGUAUACACAUGGCAUGAGACCAUUGACAAUAUAUCGAACACUUCACCAUACUUCGUCUUUUUUGCUACCAUCACCGCAAUACACAGAAGUCAUUUUGAUCUUACACGAGAUCGUCCAACUCAUCAUCAUGGCACAGUUCACUUUCUGAAAUAAUUUUGGAGCUGUUGUGUUCAAAAAUUUUCCUUUUUGUACUUUUUUUCAAUUUCGUGAUUUUCUCUUUGCCCCUUUCUCUACUUUGACGGUUGUUUACGCUUGUUUACGUUUUAUGGCGCAGUCACAAAACGUAAAAAAUGCCUAUAUACCUUGCCGGCUAAUGGUGCGCAAUGCGCAAUAUCAUACUAAUAUGAUAUCAUACUAAGCGAAAACAUGUAAACCAUAACUGCCAACCGGUAAAGUAUCUCCCGACGUUCGUUUGUGUCGGAUAGAUACGGCAGUUGCUACUAGAUGACCCGACAAUAUAGUUUUUACAAUUUUAUAAAUAGGAGAUUAGAAACAUUGAUGCGCACAAUUACCCGAUGCGCACAAUUAGCCGACUCUCCCCUACUUUUACUUUUGGAAUCGAUAUUUUUCGGUGUUUUCCUGAUAUGUUGACGAGAACGCUUGUCACUGUCAACAGACGUGGGACCAUUUUUAAACUGAUUGAAUAAUUCUUUUAUGUAUAUUUUGCUCAUACAAUCAUAUUCAAAUAACUUUUGCAUUUUUAAGUUCAAAUCAAAACUUAAUGAAAAUUCGUUGAUCUCCGUCAUUUUUUGACACCAUCAAAAUAUGACGAACUCAAAAUAGGAAAUGUAAACAACACUUUCUUUAGAAUGUGGAAAGUUCGUGAAGAGUUUGGUAUUGAUUAUGAUGAUUAUUGAUUAUGGAUGAAUUAAGGUAUUAAUUACCUUGGUACCUUACAGAUGGCGCUGUUAUGUUUUGGCGGGAAGUUAUGAACGGAGGUUUGGAGUUAUGUCUUCUUCCUCUUUAUAAGCAAUUCUGCUUGUUCAUUGGCGGAUUGAUACCUCUGUGGAAGGUUGUCACUCCAUCUAUUGCGCAGUCGGUCGAUACUUCUACCGAUUGGUGAUUUAUCUCUUGCUAUUUUGACCACACGUGUCUCCCCCAUUCUUCUUAUGUGGUUAUUCCAUUCUUUUUUUUUUUCUUAUUCAGUGUCCAUUUGUUUAUACACCGUAGGUUACAUUUUCUUCUGUCUUCACUCCUCUCUCGGUGUAUUUCCUUUAAUUCUUCUUAUAACUCUCAUCUCUGCCGUUUCCGAUAGUCUUUGUAUUGUGGCUGAAUCUCUUGUUUCUGAUGCAUAUUGAUAUUAUUGGUCUUACACUGGCUUUAUAAAUUCUUGACUUCAUCUGUCGGUUUCGCCUUAUAGUGUUAUUAAGGCAUCCUGUCAGUGUAUUUACUUUUUGUACUUGAUUUCUCACUUCUUUGUCCAGGUCUCCGUAGCUGCACAAUGUAAUUCCAAGGUAUUUUAUUGCCAUUACUUGUUGAGUACUCAUGCCAUCAAUUUGUAUUUUACAUCUUAUUAGUUCUGUACUGAUUACUAUUGUUUUAAUUUUCUUAGGAGUUAUGUGAUUAAUAUAAUUUUAACUCUCUAUGUCGGUGUCCAUAUAGUUUAACAUACAUAUACAGUCGAACUCGCAUAUUGGAUUAGCCUUCGUGCCAAGCAAAAGUAUUCCUGUAAGCGGGAUAUUCUAAUAACCGAUCAUCGGUGGCUAGUAGAAACGUUUUGGGACCUCAAAUUUCUAAUCUUUAAGCGGGGAUAUUUCUAUAACUGCUAUUCUGAAAGCGGGUUCGACUGUAUACAAUACGACGCUCAGGUAGGUUUAGAUGUAAAAACGUUUUAACGUAUUUGCGUCUUUUUCGUAGUAUAAUUUUAUUUAACACUGCAUUUAGUAGUACAAAAGCCUUUGUUAAUACAAAAAUGUCACAUUUGCUUAUUGUUUGUUUUUAGAUUAUAGCUACAGUCAUGUAAAAAAAUAUAACAACACUGUCUUGAUUUUCUACAGAUUAUAGCUAACUUGGGAAAAUUAAUUAGUCAGUCAGACAGCCGUUAAUUUUCACUUGACUUAUGUUUGACAACAAAUGUUGAUUUCUUUUGUUAGGUAUAUCACAAUUUGAACUUUGUAAAUCUGGUCAACUGUGCACUUAUUGAGCUAAUUAACAUAAUAUAAUUUUUUUGAAGCUGGUGUGAUAUUUUUGUCUUAAUAAAUUAUAUAUGAACUGUAAAUCUGGUGGUUUUAUGUGGAAAAGCAUCUGUGCUUACUAUUGCAAUAUGUAAAAUUUCACUGUGGUACGUACUAUCUAUAUAAUGUUAGAAACGUUUGUUAAUCUACUGUCAAAUGUAUUAUUUUUAAUUUUCUGUUAGUACAAAUAUUGUAGAUUGUUAAGGAGGAGCACAGCAAAAUCUAUUAAAUGAACGUAAUAAAUUAUCA